AUCCGCAGUUUCCUGCUGGUUUGUUCCUGUGCUGCUGCUCUUCACGUUCAUCCGAGAAUGUUGAGCAAAAUAAUCGGAAACAAAUACGCGUCCAUCGCGAAAACAUGGGUCCCCAAUCUUGUUUUCUGGGGGGGAGCAGGAGGUGUAGUUUUUGUCCACUUCACCGACUGGCGGCUCAUCCUGGACUACGUUCCCUACAUUAACGGAAAAUUCAAGAAAGAUGAUUAGAAGGUCAGUGUUGUCUAGUGGACUGAAGAUGGAGACGGGGCUCAAAACAUCUGAAUCAGACCCCUCUGUUCAUCAGCUGCCAACAAACAGUGUGAUAUUUAUUUCAGGAGCUUUGGAUUGAUUUGCCCUGGUGAUCCUUCAGUGUGGAUGUACACUCACUGAUGUCCAACAAUCAACAUUGGCUGAUGGAAAAGCAGGAGGUUUUUAUUCGACAGCAUCACUGUUUGAUUCCUCUGAAUCCUCCUGGAGUAAAUACACCGUCAAUCAUUCUCUCGUUAUGAAUAACCUCUGCGCGGACCUGAGCUCUGUUUGAUCGCUCUGUUGUGUUUUCCGUGUCAUCUGCAGGUUGAUGCGGUGCUUUAAUAAAGUACUUUAAUGUG
ensembl:processed_transcript si:ch1073-325m22.2 si:ch1073-325m22.2